UCCUCCCGGGCAGGAACCACCCGGCUCGCGGCGGAGGGUGGGCCGCCGUCACCUGACCGCCCGCCCCCGCCCCCCGCGAGUAAGGGGCGGUGGUAGCGUCUGCUCGGUUACAAAUGGCCCCUCCCGCCCCGCUCGCCCGCUCGCUUGGGCUCGGCGCGGACCCGCCCGGGCGCGCUCCUCCUGCCGGCUCCCGGCAUCCCACCGCCCUGCUCAGCGCUGGCCGGUGAUCCCUGCCGCCCGGGAGCAUCCAGUGUAGAAGCUCGCCCACCCGAGGUCGCGGUGGAAGUCUGGACCGCCAAGCUGUGUGACUUGUUUACUGGCAGGUAUUCCUCUGAUACAGUGGGUAAUGACUCUGCUCUUCAGCCUGAGAGUGGUUCAAAAUAAUGAGGGAUGAAGAUGGAUAUCCCAUUUUGUAUCCAGACAAGGACCAAGAGGCUGAGCAGAACCAACAGGUCAGUCGGUUUUUUUCCAUGCCAGCUGAGAGGGUUCGGAGUUAGCUGCAGUCAUGGCCUUCAGCCAGGCACAUGAUGGCUUGUUUUGAGGCUCAAAAGUGUUUUAGCAACAGGAAAACAGACACAGUGAUGCAGAUUGUAGACUGCUUUAUAAGGCUACAGGAUGGAGCCAAGAGAGGUGGGGCCUCAGCUCUGGGCAUGGAGAUGCAUCUUAACAUCUUGCUGCUCUCUCCCUGCUCCUGAGGAUCCACAUCCUCAGAGGAAGGGUCCUGGAUCUUCUGUGUGCCUCAGAACAUGGUCCUUGCCCAUAUUCAAAUACCUAUGAUUACAGAAAUGCUUUACUUUGAGCCAAGUGUCAGGGAUAUUUGUCUAACAAUUCUGCAUUCAAUUAUGUCCAUAAAUAAUUGCACAAAGAUCUUUUUAAUACAGGGUUUCCAGGGAAGCUCCACGGACCCCUGGUAUACCAUCUUCUGCCUUGGUACAUCUCACCUUCCUGUUCUUCCCAGUUAUAUUUUUGAAUAAGCCCCUACCUGGCGCCUCCAUUUGCAGGAAAACUGCCCCCAACCACCAGGACCUGGAAGGUACUUUCAAAGUAUAGGACUCGAGCCAGGAUUCCAGAGGAAUUGCCUAGCUUUAGAUCUCCUGUAGGGGCCAGCUGAGGUAGAUCUGUGAGCUGCUCCACAUCAGUUUCUGUGCCUGGUCCCAGGGUCUAGAGAGAGGACCCUCCAGGAAGCCACUGCUCCCAGCCCUCAGGAGCCCUGGUUAAGCACACAGAACCAUUUGGACUUGUGAAGUGUUCUUUGAAUUUGCUAGAGAUUUCUCUAAAUAAUGGUCAGGCAGGUAUGAAGGUGAGCCUGAAGCGAGUCUUUGUAGGUGUGAGCAUGUACGUGCAAUCUCUCACAGCUCACGGCGGCGGAUAUGAGAGGCGGUGACUCAUUGGUUCACUCAUUCGAGAAACCUGUUCCCCCUUUCCUUUCCCCUGCUGUUUGUGGUGGUAGAGAGGGAACUUGUUCUGUUCCAGAGCAGGCUUCCUCUUGCCAUUCUGGGGAAACUAUAUUUCAUUCAAGAGGAUUCACCCCUCUGAGGCUAUAUGAGUUGCUGCAAUUUUUUAAAAGAGAAUUUCUUGGGAAAAAAAUACUGGAGAGAAGACAAUGUAAUUUCUCAUGAUGGAGGCCUUAAGACCUUGCAUGAGAAAUGUCCCAGAGCUCUAUCGCCAGGAAUCGUGGGGAAGAAGCAGGACUUUUGAAAAGAAAAAUUAGGUCUCUGCUGAUCACCAGAAAUGUCCCACCAGGCAGUUGAGGUCUCAAUGUCAGUUAGGAUUUUCCAACAGUGACUUCUUUUCUUUCAAGUGAAAAACUGCUUGGUCAAACUUCCCCAUUGCAUAUUUUGUCUGCCCAGAAAGCAUUUUCUGUUCUAGCAACAGAAAUGCCAGGAACCAAGGUAAGGGAGUCUAUUCACCUGCUCCAGAGUUUAGAGCUUUCUAGAGGGCCUCAGGCUGCCCAGAAUAUCUUUGUCCAUGGUCCUGGCAGGACAGGUGAAGUUAGUAACUCUGUGGGUGCUGACCCCCAGGUCAGUGUGUUUAGAAAAGAAUGGGGAUGAGAUUGUCUCGUUUACUUAUUAAUAGGUGUGUAUCACAUACCAGCUUGGGAAAUAUUCCCUUCACUAUCCAUGACUUAAUCUUUGUGUUGCCAAUGUCUCCCUGGGCUUGCAGGGGAGAUGUUUUUUUUUGUUGUUGUUGUUGUUUGUUUUUUGUUUUGUUUUGUUUUGUUUUUUCAGAAGAAAUCCCUUUCCAGAGGUAAAUGCAGAUCUGCCUCUCUUUGCACAGUGGGCAUGUCCCUACAACAAAGUACCUCUCACAUGUGACAUUCAGGUGGCAGGAAACUUGCUUUUUAACCAAGUCCUGCGAGAACUCUCAAAGAAAAGUUCCUGUUCAGGGGAUUUCGUGUUGUUGGAGGCUUCUGGGUGUUGCGCUUCUUUGAAGUAAGAUUUUCCUGCAGGUUGCUUGUGUCUUAAAAUAGUAACAAACAACAUUAUUCAGGAAAGGCAAGGAGCCGACAACCCUGUUGGGAGCUCUUAAUGCCUCAAGUCCUUGUCAGGGCUGAUGAAUGAGGAAGAUUCUCACACCCUUGUGAUCGCCCCCCACUCCACAAACCUAGUACCAGGAUGAUUGAGCUUAAAACAAACAAACAAAAAUACCCCACCUUUAAGCAUUUUUAAAUUCUAUGAAGAAUUUUUAAAAUAUAGCAUCUGAGAGAAAUUGUAUAAAAAUGUCAUGUUUAAAUCCUUUUCAGCAGAGAAACACAAGCACAUCCAUCCCUUGGACAGACCAUGGUGCUGAGCACAUCUGUAAAACCACCAAAGAGACAGGACUUAGCCAACUUUGAUUUGGCUAAAAAAAAAAAAGAAUGAGGCGGAGAAGGGGGAACACAACUGAGCCACCUAAUUCACAUUGUGGAAAAGAGAAAAAGAAUCGCAGACUCCCUCCCCAGUGCUCGGUAGUUCAAAGACAAAAGUGAAUUUUUCUGAUGGUGCAUCAACCAUUUAAAAAAAAAAAAAAUGCUGCUUUGCUCCACAUGGCGCCUGAGCAGCCGCCUCCAUCCUCAAUGCUUAUUAUCAUCAUCUUCUCCCACCCCUCCCCCCAGAAAGCAACACUCUGAUACAGCAAUCCAUCACAGAGGAGCUGUGCCUCCCCGCCUCCUCGCCUCCCUGAGAUUAAUUACAGGCAAGGGCCACGUGUCUGGCUUGGCCUGUGAUUGAUCCUGCAGGAGGAAAUGCAAGGGAUGCCAACGGGAAGCUAAUGCUGCCUUUUAUCCGGUAAGCAAAGUUCAGGGAUGUUUGCAUUUUUCGAGGUAAGCAUGCCUCUCAAGACCCAGGAUGGAUAGACUGUCCUCUCAGCAGGAAUUCUUGCCAAGGCAACACAGAGGUGGGCCUCAGUGGGCCCCACUGGGGCCACAGAGGCCAGACAUUCAGAAGUGCUAAUUUUGCAAAUAGCCUGAUUCCAUCAUGUUUUAAUUAGCAUGAAGUAUUGCAAGCUGAUUCUGUUCAAGAGGUUGGCAAGUGAGAACUGGAUUAAGAUCAGUGCAAUAGACUUGGGAUAUAUAUAUAUAGGAAUUUUCUAAUCACUGAAAUGUGCUAGGUGCUGGAAUUUCCUAAUUUUUGUAGAAAAGGAAUCUUCUCCCCCCCCCCACCCAUACCCCUCCCCACAAACAACUUAGUGCAAGAUUCAUCAAAAUCAUGAAAAGGCAAAUACCGUAGUGGCAAAUACUGUAGCUUGAAACAAAUAAAUGCUAAAGGAGCUCCACCCUCGUCUCAGAUGCUCUCCAGAAGAAAUGGCAUCACACCGAAAAUGUAUUGUGUAGCCUGCUGGCCUAGAGACAGGCAUCUCUGGGCUCAAACAAUAGCUCUGUACCCACCUUCUAGCUACAACCUGGGGUAAGCUGAUUAUCAUUUCCAAGCCUCCAUUUCCUUGUCCUGACACAUCUGAUAACAUUUAGAUUUAAUCUUCCGCACUCGAGGUUAUCAUAAAGAUGUCCAAUGUGUUGGGACAGUUUCAAAUCCACAUAUGCACACCAUCAUUUCAUAACCACUCACAAGUGUUAGCAGGGUUCAGAGGAGAGUAACACAAAAGGGGGCAGGAUGGAGCUGAGGCCGUUUAAAGUAAGAGUCAAACCAGGCUGAGCUACAGAGUUAACAACAAUGAGCACCACUUCUUCUCCUGGGACUGUGUUGGAAGUGGGAUCUGUACUGGCAGCCUUCCUUCCAUUCUUGAACUCUUUCAUCUCCAUGAAGGCCACAGGGAGAUCAAGAGGAUGGAGGAUUGGAGAGGGAGGACCUGGUACAUUGCAAGGGAACCAGGCCCACAAUAGCCAUUAUUUAUGGGAUACUUACUGAUAGAAACAGACCAGGUACUCACAUGAACCUUUUCUAUUAAUCUGCACAGAAACCUCCCUGAAUAUAGCACCAGGUCCCCCAUUUGUAAUUCAAGGAUCAUAAGAAUCACAAAGGUUAAAAAAACAUCCUCAAAGUCACAUAGCAGCAGAAUUCAGUCUCUGGGGAUACGAUUGAAGAUCCUGGGCUUAUCCACCCUGAAAUGCUUCCUCACACCCAUCACUGGCCAGGGUAAUGCAGAGAUCAGUGGCAAGUAGGGAGACCAGAGAGGGUCCUUGGAGCCAAGCAGGAGACUGCAGUUCACAUCUGAAGACCCUAAAAGAUAAACCCAUGUGCUCUGCAUAUAUACUACAGGAAGCUGCAAUUGGCAGUGUUUUGACAGAUUUCCCAAUCUGUGUAAAUAUGAACCUGCUUUUACCUCAUGCUUGCUAUGUGCCUGCCAGCACUGUUCUGACUAGCUGGUAUAUACUAAUAACACUGAGUCCUUGUAGCAAUCCUGUGUCGAAGGUACUGUGGUUAUGCUCAUGUUACAGAUGAGCAAACUGAGGUCGGGGACAUAGAGCAAUGUGCUUGAAGUCAUAGAAAGUAGUCCCUCUGAGAUUGGAAGAGAUUUGGGAAAAUCUGGCUACAAGGUCCACCCUUACCCACACUGGGCUGUGGGCUAGGGAGCUGUGAGGCCUGGAGGCGUUCCACCCCAGUGGAUGUAUCACAAGGUGAUACCUUGUGACACAAGGUGCAGGAAGGUGGCACCUUUAACAAUUCAUGUUAAUGAUUCCACUGAACCUUAAAACAGAUGCCAGCAAAGGUAACAGGCAAUUGCAUGCCCUCCAUUCAGCCAUCCUCAAGCCCUUCUGGUGCGCAGAGCCUUGGCUGGGGCUUCCUAUUUAACCCCUCUUGGUUAGCAUAUAUGUAGCUGAUGGCUGGGUAGGGCUGCAAGAAAGAGUUGGGGGGCCCUCUGAGCACCUUGACAUCCUUGUCUGAAAGACAUGGGUAUUGGCAGGUGUCUGAACACUGGGAUUGACUGUCAGAUCAUUCCAUGGAAACCAUAUUAAUUUGAAAAGGGAAGAGUGGGUGCUAGAGUAAGAGAAAGAUCUUGGCAAAAACCUGAUAGGCGCUUUUCCACCAUUGGGUUGACCAGACAGGGCCACAAAGCUGAUUCAACAGGAUUAGCAAAAAUUGCUUUGUUAGACAUAGGCGCAGCGUGACAUGUGCUACAGCAAAGGCAUUUGGCAGGAUUAACCUGCCAAGGAUAAAGAUGUAGCAGACAAGGGGCUGAAUUAAUGGACUGGCAUGACCGAAGCGGGGAAAUCUAUUUGCAUGCGAUAUUAACUGUGCUAAUAAACUCUGAACUGGGCUGGGCAGCCUCUUUAAACCAGGGUUUUUUAUUUCAAAGCCCACCUGGAAAGCUACUGCCAAGAUGGGCUAAAGCAAGCAGGCUCUACAAUUUGCCUUCUGGUUUCAUUUUUGCCAUCAUCUUAAAGACAUGCCGUCUUCAAUGCCUGUCCCAGCAUGCAUGCCUUGCUGACCAUGCAGAAUGAUCCUGAUGCCUCAAAACUUGGGUGCCAAAAAUAUCCUAGUUAGAGGGUUAGUGCCUAUGAAAUAAGCAAUGAAGAAACACAGGUACAGCACACUCCAGGAAAUACCUAAUCAGAGUGAGCUGUUUGUGUGUUCUGAUUCCCUAUAAGUCAGAAUGGGAGUAGGGUAGGUAAGCAAGAUAUCCAGGAUGGUGUCACAGGCCUGUGAUGGUGUCACAGGGUGGUGUCACAAUCCCAGCAGCUUUUGAGGCUGAGGCAGGAGGAUUGCAAGUUCAAAGCCAGUCUCAGUAACUUGGCAAGGCCCUAAGCAACUUAGCAAAACCUUGUCCCAAAAUAAAAUAUGAAAAGGAGCUGUUGAUGUGGCUCAGUGGUUCAGCACCCCCAGUUCAAUCCCCAAUAGCCUGCCCUGCCCCCACCAAAAAAAAAAAAAAACCACAAGAUACCUAGGAUGGAAAAUCCCAGGAAGCACUCAUUGUCUGGCUCAGGAGAAAUGGAAAUCAAGGUCAGCACCUGGGAGAAAGGGCAUUCUUUCCUCACUCUCCUCUUCCCCCUAACCCCACCCUGCCACAGGUUACCGUGGGAACAGUGUAAGCUCCACCCAUUCAAAAACAAGAGUGCAUUUAAAUACACUUAACACAGACACGGACUGCACAGCUGAGUGUUGGGAGAUGGUCUCAGGAAGCAUUCUAGAGAUAGGAGUUGAGCCAAUAAAAAUCGUGUUACCUCUCGGGUUACUGCUGUGGGCAAGUAGAGACCUCUGCAAGCCCAAGUAGAGCAUCGCUCAGGUUAUUCCAACGGAGGGGCUGGAGAGCCCAGCGUUCAUCCAGCAACUCCUGAUGGUCGCUGAUGUUAACUCCCUGCAGUGUCGACUAGACAUACCCUGCAAGGAAGUGGCUGAGUGGAGAAUCACACCCUGUACACACAAACAGUGGUGCUGGGCAUUUACAGUGCCCGCUAUGUAGGCACGAUCUAAUUUUCCUCUGAACACCUUGAGGCUACAUCAGACUCUCAUUGUGCUGAGGCUCCUUAGGAAUGUUGGUUUUUUAACAGAGUCUUGGAUCCUAUGUCUAGUUUAUCAGAAUCCCUGGAGUGAGGGAUGGAUUCCUACACUUCACUCCCAAAUAGGCUAAAUCAGGAUCUUGGUGUUGGGGUAGAGCCCCCAAAUCCCCCUGCCCCACCCCACAGCCCUCCUGAGCCAGUCUGAUUGGUGUUUAACAUCUGCCACUAAAUCUGUUGACCUGAGAUAAACCUGGAAGUGGUGGAUGAGGAAACACCUCCCAACUUUCUGUCACAGACAUCUUUUUCUUUCCCCCCCAGCACUAACAAGCAGAAAAGUAUUUCCCCAAUUUGAAACCUCUGGUGUUAUAAAGCCUAGAUACAUGUCAUGUCCUUGAUAUUGCCUGUACCAAGUGAUCCUUGUUUGGUGUCAAAAAAAAAAAAAAAAAAAAAAAAAAAAAAAAGAAAGAAAGAAAGAAAGAAAAAGAAAAAAAAACAGAAUGAGCUGGAUUGACCCUAUAAAACUCCUGUCAAAUAAGGACAUAAGCAAGUCCAAGUGGAAAAUAAAGAAGUAAAGGCUUUAAUUACAAUUGAUGAAUAAUUCCAGAAUACUAGGUGUCUUGCAUUCUCUUAAAAUGCUCCUGAGGUACCUACAGGUCCUUAAAGAGGCAACAGAAAAAAGGCUCUGAGGAGGGAGGGGGCCAGGGUGUGUUCCAGCAGAGCCACUCCCUUUGGGCUGUAUGAUACAGGGCCUGCAGGGUAAGUGGGGGCUGAGGUCUAGCCCAGGCUCCACUGGGCAGGCGGCACAUCCUGUCAAGGGGCACCUCUUGAGCUGACAGAAGGCGCUGUUCGCAGGAAAGGCCUGGCUUCUCACAUUGCAGAAGGCACCAUAUGGUCCAGCCCUGUGCUUCAAGAUAUGAAAGAAAGAGUGGAGCUGGCAUCCAGGAGGAGGGGUGGCAGUGGGUGGGCAGGAGGGCUGGACCACCAGGGGCACGUGGGUUUAUACAGGGUGUUCAGAUUUUAUUCCAGAAUGUUGGGAAGCAAGAGAUUGGAAGCAGGAGAGUGAUGUGAUCUGAUUCAUGUGUCGAAAGGGUCGCCCAGGCUGCUGUGCAAAGAAUGAAUCAGAGGGACAAGUUCAAUUCUUAUGCCACCAUCCAGGCUAGAGGUGGAGGGAGAGCUCUGGGCUGGAGGUAUGGAGCGGCCACAGAGAUGAAGAAAUGCACUAAAGAUGCAAAUAGUUGGACUUCCCAGACAUUUUAGUGAUUCAUAGGGGACACUAAAAACAAAUUUUUACCAUCAUGGUGCCCACACACACACCCACCUUGCAAGACUUUACUCCGUGAGUGAGCUGAAGGCUCCUGUGCUCCAGGUGCUGUGUGGGUGCUGACUUGCCAGGUGACUCCCUGAGGGCCUCAUCCUCAGAGUCACCAUUUACCAAGACACACAGAAGAGUUAACAGUAAUGGAAGCGUACAAAAAGUGCAAGUCACGGAAGCCAGGCCCUUGGCUGAGCAAAGGACAAGGAAGGCCACCCACAGCUGGCCCCAGAGCCCAGACUGAAGCAGGAGGAGUUUUCUACUUAGAAAGGAACAUGCAACAUUGCAGUUGAAUGUAGAUCCAGAGAAGCAUGUGUGUGUGGUAUACCAUGGGCUCUACUGCACUGCACAGUCUGGGAUAGACAGAAAAGAAGCUAGAGGUAAAAGGAAGGGGCUGUGGAAUCCAGGACUCCAUCCUGGGAAUGAUGGGCAAUCUUAACGGAGGUUAGGCCAGAUCAGGCUGAGCCUGUGGAAGAGUUGAUCCAAUUCCUGUGGAUCAGAGUGGGUUAGCCUAGAGUUAGGGAGAUGAAUUAGGAAGAUCUGUGUACACACUAGCACUGUAUAUCCCUAAAAUGCAUGGUACCAUCUUGAUUCUCCUGACGGAUUCAUCCGAGCUCUCAGAAAAGAGUAAAUGAGCCACAGGGAUCUUGGUUUAAAUCUUGGUUUAAAUGCUUGAUGAAUUCCCAGCCAGUAUUCAUCAAGCAUCUCCCAGGUGGCCAGUGCUGGAGAUCCACUGGUGAGGUUGGGAGACCACUCAUUCCAUGAUAAGUGCUGUGAAGGAAGAGUGCUGGAUGCCCCAAGAACACAUUACAGAGAAGUCAGAGCUAGUAGGCAGGUUGGAAAUCCAGAAAGUGACUACGGAGCUGAAUGAAGUCUGAAGAAGUUGUAUCCAACUAUGCAACAUGAACAUGCCAGGUGGAGGAAGCAGCUUGUGUAAAAGCCCCCGGGGCAGGAGGGAAAUUCAAGUACAGAGAGCAAGAACAGUGAGGGAUGAGGGGGGAAAAAAGGUGGGGCCACACCUGAGCCUUGCAGGUACCUUCUUGCAAGCAUUUUAAGUCAAAACAUGAUAAUCGUUUGUUACUUUGAGAUGAUCAAUUCUUUAUCAUCUGUCUCUGACCCACUAGGCACUGGUGGGUCCUAGAUAGAACCAAGAAGUAGAACUGGAUGCAGACAGGAAACUGGGGUCAUGAGCAGAACUGACAAUUCCCGAGUCCCCUUUGCCCUUCAGUUGCAGGGGUGGGAUAGUGCCGGUACAUGGGCUGAUGGCAGUUUACUUUCUCAGACUUGUGCAGGUCCACCCAGUACCAAUAUACCUUCCCAUGCACAUGCUUGAACAGAAGAGCACAUCGACUUUGCUGAAGGCUCUAGCCAUAAGCAGUGUCAAGUCACAGUCCCCUUGCUUACUUUAUAAAAGACCUCAUCCCACUAUCUGCAGCUUCCUUAUUCUCAGAGUUAAGUGGUUUUUGGUCCUCAAGACAGUCCACAGAAAUUUUAGUCCCAUAAGAAAAAAAAAAUUCCAGGUGUCUCUCUACCUGACGGUUGGAAAGCCAGCCAUAUUAACUUGAUCAGCACCAACACCAUCAAAUAUGCACACUUAUUGAGCACUUUCUGUGUGCCAGGUUUUCUGAUCUUAUCACAUUUUUUCAGAUACUGAAAUGGAGGCCCAGAAAGGUUCAGUAACACAGGCACAAAGGGACAGUCGCAAUGCAGCCCAGACCCACUUGUUUCUAAAGUCCUGGUGUUCAACCAGGGUGCCACACAGCAACCCAUUCCCCAUACUGGAUGUCCAGUAAGCAGGCUCCGAGAUGGAAGAACUGGAGGUGUGGGGCCUAGAGACCACCUGCUCCAGGGCCCCCCCUCAUCCAGUGAGCAAUCUAAAUGGGACGAGGUACCCAGAUUUGCUGUGUCCACCCAGGGAAGGUGGUAGCCAAGCUAGAGCUGGAACCCUCUCUACCCUGGUUCCUCCUGCUGUUCCUUAACCCCACUAGUUCUUUCAUGCCUCCGGACUUCCUGCUCCUAACACAGUGGACACAGUAUGACCUUCACAGAGUUCAGGCAUCAACACCUGGCCCCAGCACCAACAUUCCUUCUGCCCUGGCACACAGAGAGCCACACACCUGGUUCCAUGUCCUUCUUGGGAGUCUGGGAUGCACAACUCACAUUUGAUAUAAAUCCUCAGCUUGGCAGGUCUAUGGAUCACAGAGACCCGAGUGUAGCAAUUACAGCCUAAGACCCCAACAGGAAUUGUAGACAGUAAAAUCCAGAUAUUUCCGGACUCCAAGGCCUCGGUGGUUUAUGGGGCAUGGUGUUAAGUCAUGACUGAUGAAUUACUCAAAGUUUCUGCUUCCCCCAACUCUGGCAAGAACUUUGGCAGAACUUCUGUGCCACAUCCAAUACCAGGAACUUGCCAAGUCUGUGUCCUUAAAAUGAAGCGGGUUCCAAGAUAGAUGGCAGGAAGUGGAAAAUGUGAUUUUUCUUGAUUGGGUAACUAAGAACCACGCAGCAGGCAGGAGCCAUUUGAGACCAAAGAGCUGUUCAUUUAAAGUGUUUAUUGACACCUGGAAACAGGCAUUUAAAUGCUGUUUUCACGUCAGUUUACACUACAUAAUUUCAUAAUGGUGAUGAAAUCCAGGCAGACACCAAAAGGAGAGUUCCAAAGCCAUUUUAUUUUCUGCUGGAUUUCCUUAGCAGAAACUCAAUAUCCGAGAUGGGCUAAAGCUGGGGAAAGGAUGAGCCCAGCAGGUCACUAGCUAACAGAAAGGCAAGGCACCCCGGGGGCUCCUUGUUUGGUGGGCCACCUGGUUGCUUUCCAGCUAGCCUGUUUUUGUUGGUUUGACUGCUCCAAAUCCUCAGUGAUCACUCUUAUUUUGUGUUUGGAAUGUGUUCCCCAAUCAGUUGGGGACUGGGUGGGAAGAUUGUUCUCUCCAUCCUUGAAUGAUUCCAUUUUGACCUCCUCAAUUCUCCCCAGAAGACAGGGGGGCUGGCUCUGAGUUCAGCUGUCAAGGUCUGGGACCUUAACAAGCAUAUGAAUCAAGACAGCAGUGGUCCUAGUGAAGAUAUUACUUAGGAUACAAAGUGAGAACCAUCUCCAGUUAUCUACAUUUGGCCAGAGAAUAAUGGAAAUCCCUGCAUUCUUUCCCAAUACCAAUGGGGAAAAUAGCUUUACCAAUGGACCUUAAAAAUUACUGGUAAUCACUGUACCUUGUGAGGCAGAGACACUCAGGCUGUGAAGGGUUGUAUUCUCCUCUGAGGGUUUGUUGAAGGCAGAUUCUCUACCCAGAGAAACACUAAUGCACUGGGUAAGUUUGUAUCCAAGGUGCAGGAUCCCCUCGGGAUGGGGAAGCGGGCAAAAGAUACAAGAAAGAAAAGUGUCUCAGAUGGGACAUAAGAGAGAGGGAGAUGGAUGAUGGAGACUUUUUGCAUCCCAAUCCUAACCCUGCUGCUCUCUCUCCUCUCUCAGCAACAGCACAGCAGAGAUGAUCAUGUGCCCUUCAGCCACCCCAGGAUGUCCCAGCAUGGUGCGGUGGGGCAGCUGGUGUUGUGAAUCAGGCCGUUGCCAAUCAGAGAACGGCUACUUCACAACACCAGGGUCACACCCCACCACAGGCAGCUCUGCACCAGAACCAACAAGCGUCCACCACGUCCACCAUGAGGCAGCCAAGCCCUUCACAGAAGGUCAUCCCAGGACACCUCCUCCCAGCUCCAGAACCCGGGCCUGCAGCUCUCUACUUCCUGUCCUGCUGCUGUGGCUGCACCACAAACACUAGCGUCCUGUGGCUGCUAUUUAUCUGAACAUGAAUAACUCCAAUUUUAAAAGAAAAAUCCAAUCCCGGCAGGAUUAACUUUCUAUGGAGAUACUGGUGCUACCAGACUUCCCACAGGGAAAAUGGUGUCAGGGGGCCAUCAGAAGGGUUAAGCACCACCAAUAGACAUUUCCUCCUAAGUGCAGGAGACACAGGUGUUGAGGAGCUGAGACCUUUGCCUUGAUCUUUAAGGAUAGUACCUUGGAACGGAGCAAAGUAGAGAGAGGCGAGGACCCAAUUAUAGGAUGGUAGCCUCAGGGAACAGUUCCAGAGAGAUGGAAUUCUUUAGAGCCACACAUGUGGGGACCAUGUCUGUUUCCUAGAGGGACCCAGGUUCUCUGAAGAGUGAACUCCUUUCCAGGAGGAGAGCCCCACAGCUCUCCAGCAGGCACAUGGCCCAAAGACAUGAAUGUCAGACGACAGCCAAACACAAGACGUACCUGAACUGAAGGUGGGCUUUCUUUCCUCAGGUCCUGAUAGUCAGGGACCUCAAAAAGUUGGAAAUCUAACUGGGGUCUCCAGAGCUUGAGUGUUUUUAUGCCUAGUAGAUCUCACAUGAGAUGCCACCAUUUUUGAGACUUCAGGCAGAAUUCCCAAGAUGGGGUGGUGAGGUUGCCCAGCAGUCUUUGUGAAGCACUAGGGAAAAGGAAGAUGACCAUCUCUUUGCCUUUGCAUAGACGAGAGAUCCAGACCCACUCUGAUCCAGCUUUACACUGUGCAUUAUUUGUACAAGGCUUUGCUUGGUGUCCCAUUGAAAGCCAAAGAGACGGACAAAAAUCAAGCCCUGCACAAACCUUGUACAACAUCGAGGUUCCACAAACAGAGCCUGGGUUAAUCAGUGCCACCUUGACCUUGGUCACCUUAGAGCCUGGGAGGUAAAUCUGCUCCUGAGAAGUUCUGUCUCUUACCCCAUCCCCAGAGCACCAAGAGCAUCCCUGAAAUUUGUAAUAAAUUGUGUUUACCUCUCGGAAUAAAAGUCCAAGAUUUUAGAGAGGUCCCCCUGCUAUCUCCUUAGAACAUACAAACUCCAUUUCUGAGAAUUCAUCCACCGCUGACUCCAUGACCACCAACAGAGUCCAGGCUAGCAUCACUCACAAAGUGGCCUUUGGAGACAGCUGCCACAUGUGGGACAAGCAGAAUUCCUGGCUUCAUCGCCCACUGCUAUGUCACGGUCUCCAAUGGGGACAGUGACCCAGGCCAGUAACUACACGUGAACAAGCCCUCUAAGGGAUUCUUCAGGAAGUCUUUUUGGCCUCCCCACAUUCAUUCAGCAUGAUCUUCUUAAAACCUGCCUCCAAAUCAUGCAGACUCUAUCUUGACCUUGAGGAAGCUGCCUGCAAAAAGUUGGCAACUUUUUCAACCUCACUACGGUGCGACCCAUGAUUGGCAGGGUCUCCCUUGUGUGCUCCCCAUCCCCUCUUUUGAUGCAUCUUGCUCCCUCCACAAAAACCCUUCCUCCUCUUCCCCUGUCCCAAGGCCUUUUCCAGGAUGCCCUCCGUCUCCACUAUCCUCCCAUGAUCAAUGCCAGUCUGCCCUCUAGAUUUCAGAGAGAGCUGACUCCACGCUCUUCUGACAACCCAGGUCAGGUAGCCGCUGUUCAGCGCACUCUGCAAGCUGAAUUCUGGCCUUGCAGAGCAUUCAUCUCAGUCUGGCGUUCUGCAUUCAUUAGCAGGACGCUGCUGCAUGUGUCUUUCCCUUUGGCCAGAAAUUCCUUGAAGGCGGUGACAUUCGCCUCCACUCACUGCUGCAGCUGCACCCCAGCCCCUUGUCUGUGUGUGCAUGGAGCAGUCACUCUGCAACAGAAUGUCCUCUCAAUGAAUGAAUGAAUGCACACAGCCCGAGCCCUGAGUGUCCUUCAAGGCUCUCGUUCUUCGGAAGCCCCGGGUCUUUGUCUUCUUUCAGCAGCAUAACAGCAGCAGGCACUGCUGAGGAGACACAGGGUGCCAGGCGCUGCCCAGAGCACUGUGUACUGCCAGCCAUUGACUUGGGGCCCAGUUCCUCCUGACAGGCAGGCCCUGGAACCACCCCAGCAGGUAAGUGCCAAAGCCACGCCAUCAUACCGUUGGUAAUUGACGACACUGCUAUUUAAACUCAGGCCCCACAAUCUGUCCAGAGCCUCUGCUCCAUGCUACUAAGGAGCCAAGAUGACAAAGCUGAACAGGGAAGCCCCUGGGGCUUGCUUCCAGGGACCCAGCGAAGCCCUCUCCAUUCUCAGAGGCUUCCACUCUGAUUUCCUAAACUAGGCAGUGUUCUCUCCCUUCAUGCAUCUGUAAAAGGUUAGAUUCUAACCUUGUUUCAAGCACUUCGUAAUAGAACCUGAUUAAAAACCUCAUAAAAUAUAAAACGGGGUCAUGUCCAGAGAGAGAAUGAGGGAACUGUUUCAGAUCCGCAGGAAGCUCUAUUUAAUUUUGGUGUCAAGCUGGUGAAUUCUUCCGAGGUUUGCACAGUGACCUUCAGUGACCUACAAAGACGGAUGUGCAUUCCCCAGAACUGUUUUGGGGAGCACGACCCUAGGGCUCCCUUCCCAGUUUUUGACUUCAGCCAAAGCCCCAGCCCUGGGCCAUAUACCUCUGCCCACAGCGUGGCUUCUUUUCCAAAAAUGCAUCCUACUUGAGAACAGCCUCCCCCCAAGAACAUUCUGGACCUUCUAUUUAGGUAGAUUUGACACCCUCCAUAAGAAAGAAGAAUGUCCCGCUCCUUUUUUCUGGAACCUUGCUCUAACAGGUUCUACCAUCUGAAGCCCUAAGUUUAAAAGCUCUGCCUUGUAACUUCCAUAGGGUCCUACAGCUGUAGCUAGCCAUAUUUCAAACCUUAGAAUUCUCUGAGGAGGCCCAGUGCAGACAACCAAAAGCUUUGGAUAUAGGGGGCUUGUCAGACACACACUUUACAAACUGGUCAUCGUCUGCUGACCCCGGUUAGCACAUCAGGUGAAAGCUGGGUUUAAAAGGAACUUACUUAAUAUCGAAUAUCAAAUAAACAGCAAUGGUUCUUAGAAUGUGGUCCUGGGGCCUAUGGCAGCACCAGUAUCCCUGAGAACUUGUUAGUAAUGCAAAUAGAAAUUCCUCUGGUGAAGCUCAGCAGUCUGUGUUAACCUGCACCCUAGGGGUUCUGAAGUGCACACAAGUUUGAGAACCACAAAAAAAAAAAAAAAAAAAAGGAGUGAGAGAUGGAAAUAGAAAAGAAUCUCUAGUACCAAGUGAUAAAAGGGCAUGGUAUUGAAAUUUCCAUUCCUAUCAAUGGUAGCCAGUGAAACAUUUAGGGCAUUUACUGAGUGUUUGAAUAAUAAUUUUUAAAACCCAUUUUUCAGAUCUUAAAAGUAAAUCUCCAGGUGUUCUAGGCUGUGGAAACCUGACCCUUCCCAUCUUCACACUAAACAUGCCCAGGAACAAGCUUUUAUCCCUCGCCACAGGGAGGACAGAAGAUUGAGGGAACAGAGGAAGCACUUACGAAAAGCCCACAACAAGGUCAGGAGACCAUGGGGGCGUGAUGUCCAGAAGGCCAUUGGUCUGGGCAGUCCCCAGGUGUGGGAGUCAUCCUGGACAGAUUUACCUCUGACUCGGCACCAUAUUGCCGUGCUAGCUGUAUGACCCUCAGCUUCUCACUUAACUGUUUCUGGGACCAGUAAAAAGAGGAAGUAUGGCUCAGCCAGCUCCCCUCACCAGUCGUCAAGUCAGUUAUGGGCUGAAUUAUGUCUCCCUCGCAUCCUAUGUGGAAGCUUUAACCUGGGAUGCGAUUGCAUUUGGAAUAGAGCUUGAAAGAGGUCGUUCGAGUUAGACGAGGUCGCGAAGGUGAGGUCCUAAUCCAAUAGGACUGGUGUCCUCCUAAGAAGAGGACCCAAGGAGGAGCACUCAAAAGGAAAGACCUGGUGAGGAGAUGACAAGGUGACCAUUUGCAAGCAAGGAGAAAGGCCUCAGGAGACACCGAGCCUGCUGGUGCCUUCCUCUUGGACUUCUAGACUCCAGAACUGAAAUAAGUGCAUGGUGUCUUAGCGGCCCCAUUUGUAAUAUUUUGUCAUAGCAGCUCUAGCAAACUAAUGCAGUGCCCUAACAGAUAUGGUGAAGGCUCCAGAAUCCUGAGCCACAGGUAUCAGAUACCCUGAAACUACAGUCAGAUUCUUUAUGUAAGCCUUGAAUAUGUGGGUGACAGAUGCCAUGGAUGUCCCCACCAUCGUCCCAGCCACCUCUGAGUGCCCUGUCGCCAUAAUGGAACGUGUCCCUGAGGCUGACUGUAUCCACUCCACCCAAGUGCUGGACCUGAGGCUGUUUCUGGAGCCACGGGGUCUGCUCAGUCUAAGUGCAGGCUCUAUCUGCUGGGAAGUACCUGGGAACACCCCUGGGGCUGCCUUCCACCAAGCAAGCAUGGAAGACACAGUUGCCCCAACAUUGUGCCCAGUCCUCAAGUGAUUCCCCAGAAAGUUGGAGCCCCCAUUGCCCAUGUGACCACCGAUGCCUGCUUUAUUGGCUCGUAACUCCUCCCCUCUCUCAUACCCUCUGCCAUGCCCCGAACGCCCGCUUCUUGGAAUGUUCUCCCAAAUAAACUACAGGUCUCAGAAUCUGCCUUUUAACGGAAUCUAAACUAAGGCACAUGAGAAAGAAAACUGGGGAUUUUGUUAUUUUUAUUUUUCAACUUUGUUUUAGUAGAUUUAAUUCAUUUAGAGCAAUUUGGGGUUCAUAGAAAAAAAUCAAGUUGCAGUAUAUAGGUUUCCAGUAUCCUCCCUCCCCACACACUCAUAGCUACUGCUGCCAGCAUCCCUCACCAGAGAGGUGCGUUUAUUACAACUGAGGAACCUACAGUGACACAUGAUUGACACCCAAAGUCCAUUGUUUAUAUUAGGGUUCACUUUUGGGGGGGGCGGGUGAGGAGGGACCAGGGACUGAACUCAGAGGCACUCAACCACCGAGCCACACCCCCAGCCCUAAUUUGUAUUUUACUUAGGGACAGGGUCUCACUGAGUUGCUUAGUGCCUCACUUUUGCCGAGGCUGGCUUUGAACUCGCAAUCCUCCUGCCUCAGCUUCCCAAGCUACUGGGAUUACAGGUGUGCACCAUUGUGCCCAGCUUAGGGUUCAAUCUUGGUGGUGUAUCUUCUAUGGAUUUGGACAAACAUAGAAUAACAUGUGUCUCUCACAAGGUUCAUUGUCCCGGGUGUCCUCUGUGCUCUGUCUGUUCAUCCUUCCCAUUCCCUAACCCCUGGCAACCACGGAUGUUAGCUUUGCCUUUCCUGGAAUGUUAUGUUGUUGGAAUUGUACAGUAUGUAGCCUUUUCAUUAAUUUAUUAAUAUGCAUUUAAGUUUUAUUCAUGUCUUUUCAUUGUUUGGAGAGCGCCAGAUGACCUUGGCAUAGGUCAUGACUUUUUAGAUACACACCAUGAAAGAAAACAUUGGUAAGCUGGACUUCUUUAAAAUUAAAUUUUCUGCUCCAUGAAAGACUGUUAAGAGAGCAAAAUGGCAAGCUACAGACUGCCAGAAAAUAUUUCCAAAAGACAUAAUAAAGGACCCUUGACCCAAAUAUACAAAGAACUCCUAAAACUCAGCAUUAAGAAAACUCAGUUUUAAAAUGGGCAAAACACCUGAACAGAUACCUCACCAAAGAGACGAGAUGACACAUAAGCAAAGGAAAAGAUGCUGAACAUCGGGUCAUCAGGGAAAUGCCAAUCAAAACAGUAAUAAAACCCCACUGCACCCCCAUUAGAAUAGCCAAAAUAGAGAAUAUGGCCCCCACCAAAUGCUGGGAGGACGGGAAUCAACUGUAGCUCCUCUCAUUCUCUGCUAGGGAAAUGCACAAUGGUACAGCCACUUUGUAAAACAGUUUGGCAUUUUCUUCAAAAAAAAAAAAAAAAACUAAACAUGUCUUACUACAGGAUCCAGUAUUCACAGUUCUUGGCAUUUUGCCCAAAGGAGUUGAAAAUUGAGGUCCACACAAAAACCUGCAUAUGGAUGUUUAUAGCAGUUUCAUUCUUAAUUACUGAAUCAUGGAAGCAACCAAGAUGCCCUUUAGUAGAUAAAUGGUUGAUAAACUGGCACAUCCAGACAAUGGAAUAUUAAGAAAGCUGUGGGUUUGGGGGGGCGGGGUUUGUUGUUGUUAUGGUUGUUUUUAGUACCCAGGGGUGCUUUACCGCUGAGUUGCUGAGGCUAACUUUGAACUUGCAAUCCUCCUGCCUCAGCCUACCCAGCUGCUGGGAUUACAGGUGUGCACCACCGUGAAAUCUGUGUUUUUAACCCCAAACAGACUCAGGUGCAUUCACAUACAUACAACCCAAACAGAAUAUGCCUGGGGCACAGCAAGCUGCCAGUAAGCUCCAGAACCCAAGUUCUGAUCACAGGAAUGACACGGUAAUAGUAACAGCCAUCAUCGUAAUGUUGAAGCAGCCAUACUCGAGCCCAACAGACAGAGGGACAAAUCCCAGCUCUAACACGACUAAUCUCAGGGAUAAAUAACUUUGCUGGGUCUGAAUCUGAUAAGUCAGAGCCCUGAGCAAGACAAAAUGGAGAGUGUCUGGCACAUGGUAUGUGCUCAGCAGAAGGCAGCCUUGGAGCUGUGUGGCUCAGAUGUCCCUAUGAGAAAGGACUUGCUGUUCAGCCACAAGGAGCACAGUGAGCCCCCAGCUACAGCACCUUCCAAUAUGGCUCAGCUUCUGAGCUGAGGCCAGCUCUUUCCAGGCAGCCUCCAGCUAAUGACUAAGCAUAGCAGAGAACUGGGCCAGGCCAGUUCCAUCCAACAAGGAACUCCCCCAAGUAGACAUCUGUGUCGGAGCUCCCCCUUGGACUGGUUGAGAACAUCCGAGUCCUCCUUGCCUAGUCCUGCUUCCUUCCCUUUUUAUCACUCUCAGGCCUCCCUUUCCUCUGCCUCCUCUUCUUGGGUCCUCUGAAAAGAUGAUGCUAACACAUCUUUCUUUUCCUUCUUCUUCUGUUUCUGCACCUGCUGCAUGAAAUAGUAGUAACAGAGACAGAUUUUCAUAGAACUUUGCUUGAGGGCCUUCAGGUUUUUAAUCCCCUUGUGUUUCUCCAAAGUAAUCAGGAAUAGUCAGGGAUCUUCUGUGGCAAUCAGUGGAAAUAGACUCUAGUGAAUUUAAGAAAAGGCACAAGAAUGUACCAGAAUGCCACGGGAUACUCAGAGAACUUAAGAAGUCAAAGUACCAGACUGAAAAAGAACGAACGCAACAGUUUGUGAUCUCCUGGAAUUAGUGAGCUCUUUUCUUCAGAACACCACUGUUGACGUCAAAAAACUCCAGGCAAAUUUUGGUGCUUCUAAUGUCCCUGUGUUCAAAUUCCAAGGAGAAGGUGUCUCAUUGGCCAGGUGGAGGCAGGGCAUUUUGGAAAGCAACCCAUGGAAACAGAAAGCAACUCUCCCUCCAUUAAAGCAGCAUCCAAAGCAAGAUCAGAGUGUGAGAAACAUGCUCACCUGUCCAAACCCAAAGAAUGGACUGACACGCAAAGGUGCAGUCAGGCUUUAAUGACAGUCUUGCAAGAUCAGGUAUCAGGGGCAGGGGGGAGCAGGUACACCCCAACCUGUUACAAUCAGCAUUUUAUCCCCUAGAGCACAAGGUCACCCCCUGCCUCCUCCUUCCUCAAUGGCUUGAGUACUGUGGGGUACACAAUCUUCCAGGAUGUUGGAACGUCCCCUAGGUUUUACUGUCUCCUUAUGGGUUGACGAAAUAGACCUUUAGUUGUUCCUACUUCCCUUUGUUUUGUUGUGGCAGGAAGGUUUUGGGGACUGAGUGCAUUUUGGCACAUGGGAAGUUUAUCUUUGUUGGUCAGACCAGCCCUUUCCCCCCUCACCUCCUGUUUGUCAAGGGGCUGUGAGGCUGUCACACUCCGGUGUUAACUGCUGGUAAACAUUUGUUCUAUUUCCUCUUCAGUUGACUUUCUCACAUCCUAAGACUAAAAACUGUAUUCUGACAAUGGACCACUGGACUUCCUAUUUCUCACUAGGGUACCUGUCAUCAGAAAGUGAUUAGAUCUACAAAAUGGCUAACUCUACCCAGAGAAUUUCAUAGAACCCAACGGGAAAAGGAAAAAUGUACCUUGCCUCAAUUCUUACCAAGAGCUCAAAGCAACGUCUCUCUCUGUAUAUGAAUUUCAUUUGACACGACAGGAGCCAUCUUGAAUGUUAACCUUCAGGAUUUCCCCCAGAGUGACCCUAACUGGGCUCCCAGCAAACUAUAAAUAGACAAAACAAUUAGCAUAGCGUAUGAGACUUUACAACAGACCCUGCCACCAGGAAUAUGUACGACUCUGAUGUUAACUUACAAUAAGCCAGGUAGGUGCAUUCUGGCUAAGAUUUAAAAGAAAAAAAAUCACUUCUGUCCUAGCCAUAUAUAAAUCCCUUCUUUCUGACCCAGAUUGCAGUGAUCCAACUGAUCUUGCUGCUGCCCAGGACCACCCUUCUGUCAGUAAGUGUCUGAAUAAAUUGCACUCUGUGCCAUCCUA